UCGAGCGGAACGACUUAACUGAACCUUCGGGGAACGUUAAGGGCGUACGAGCGGCGGACGGGUGAGUGAAUGCCUGGGAAAUUGCCCCAGUAGAGGGGGAUAACCAUUGGAAACGAUGGCUAAUACCGCAUAACCUCUUCGGAGCAAAGCAGGGGACCUUCGGGCCUUGCGCUAUUGGAUACGCCUAGGUGGGAUUAGCUAGUUGGUGAGGUAAGGGCUCACCCAAGGCGACGAUCCCUAGCUGGUCUGAGAGGAUGAUCAGCCACACUGGAACUGAGACACGGUCCAGACUCCUACGGGAGGCAGCAGUGGGGAAUAUUGCACAAUGGGCGAAAGCCUGAUGCAGCCAUGCCGCGUGUGUGAAGAAGGCCUUCGGGUUGUAAAGCACUUUCAGCAGUGAGGAAGAUGGUAAGAUUAAUACUCUUAUCAUUUGACGUUAGCUGCAGAAGAAGCACCGGCUAACUCCGUG
rnacentral:rRNA from 1 species